rnacentral:rRNA from 1 species
CGCCGGGAAUGGAAAGCCCGGUGCAAGCGGGGUACCAGUCACUUUGGCAAAUCCGGGUGGCAAUGGGAAGCCGUGAUGCGGAGCGAAAUAAAGUAGUGAAGUCCGUGAGCCAUGCGUCAAGAAAAGCCGCUAUUGUUUAUACCGUACCCGUACCGUAAACCGACACAGGUGGAUGAGGAGAGAAACCUAAGGCCGGCGGAAGAAGCAUUGUCAAGGAACUCGGCAAAAUGGCCCCGUAACUUAGGGAUAAGGGGUGCCUGGGAAACCAGGCCGCAGAGAAUAGGCUCAAGCAACUGUUUAGCAAAAACACAGGUCUAUGCGAAACCGAAAGGUGAGGUAUAUGGGCUGACGCCUGCCCGGUGCUGGAAGGUUAAGAGGAGAGGUUAGCGGUAACGCGAAGCUUUGAAUUUAAGCCCCAGUAAACGGCGGCCGUAACAAUAACGGUCCUAAGGUAGCGAAAUUCCUUGUCGGGUAAGUUCCGACCCGCACGAAAGGCGUAAUGAUUUGAGCGCUGUCUCGACAAUGCAUCCGGUGAAAUUGAAGUACCAGUGAAGAUGCUGGUUACCUGCGCCAGGACGGAAAGACCCCAUGGAGCUUUACUCCAGUCUGGUACUGGGACUCGGUAUUGCAUGUACAGGAUAGGUGGGAGGCUAGGAGAUGGUAACGCCAGUUGCCAUGGAGCCGCUGUUGGGAUACCACCCUUGCAGUAUUGGGUUUCUAACCAGCCGCCGUGACCCGGCGGUGGGACAAUGCCAGACGGGGAGUUUGACUGGGGCGGUCGCCUCCGAAAGGGUAUCGGAGGCGCCCAAAGGUUCCCUCAGAAUGGACGGAAACCAUUCGAAGAGUGCAAAGGCAGAAGGGAGCUUGACUGCGACACCGACGGGUGGAGCAGGUACGAAAGUAGGGCUUAGUGAUCCGGUGGUAUUAAGUGGGAAUGCCAUCGCUCAACGGAUAAAAGCUACCCUGGGGAUAACAGGCUUAUCACUCCCAAGAGUUCACAUCGACGGAGUGGUUUGGCACCUCGAUGUCGGCUCAUCGCAUCCUGGGGCUGUAGUAGGUCCCAAGGGUUGGGCUGUUCGCCCAUUAAAGCGGUACGCGAGCUGGGUUCAGAACGUCGUGAGACAGUUCGGUCCCUAUCCGGCGUGGGCGUAGGAUAUCUGAGAGGAGCUGUCCUUAGUACGAGAGGACCGGGAUGGACGGGCCGCUGGUGCAUCGGUUAGACUGCCAAGUCUACGGCCGAGUAGCCAAGCCCGGAAGGGAUAAACGCUGAAGGCAUCUAAGCGUGAAGCCCCCCUUAAGAUGAGAUAUCCCAUUCGAAAGAAGUAAACCCCCUUGAAGACGACGAGGUAGAUAGGGCAGAGGUGGAAGUGCAGCAAUGCAUGGAGCUGACUGUUACUAAUCGGGUGAGGGCUUGACC